AUGUUUUUGUUGACGAUCGGAGUACCACAGACAUGCUUCGGGAUAUCAUUGACAUGGUCAUCAGGUAAAAGUCAGACUUUUGAAUUCACAAAGGAUCCCGCGGUAAAUGCUAGAAUAGUUCAUACAAUUUCAUCAUUGAAAGAUGAGGAUGUGGCCGAUGGGUUCAGCAGCAAUCCAUCGACAGGUCAAAAGGAUGUAAUGCCAAAAUGGUAUGAUCAAAAUAGUGUUGGGGGGAAGGCAAGAAUGUUGUCGAUGAUAGCCCAAAUCAUCGAGGGGCACAGAUGGUAUUUCUCAUCAUGA
rnacentral:rRNA from 1 species